rnacentral:lncRNA from 1 species
GCCGGAAAUCGCGGGCGAAGGCGGCGGUUGCCGGAGUCGUGGGCGAGGUGGCCUGAGGAAGAAGAUGACAGGUGGGCCCCACCUGUCAGUGAGAGAGAGAAGAGUUGAAAGUGUAUUUCUCCGAGAAUACGCUUUCCCGCGGAGAAAGCGAAAUUCCGGAGAAAAAGAAAAAGAAUAAAAGAAAAUGAUUAUAAAACACUUUUCAAGAUCUAUAAUUCACCCGAAAUUCUAUUUAAAUCAUUUAAAAUAUCAAAUGGCUUCAGAAAUAUUCCCAAAAUUCUGUAAAAUAAUAUAUUUCAUUUAGAGUCCAGGAAAAUUAUUCCCACUUAAAAAUAGAUUAAUAAAAAUAUUUUUAAUGUUUUUAAGCUUUAAAUAAAUUAAAAUAAAAUCCAAUAAUGCAUUUUUAAAUUUUAGAAAAUUCUCAAAUCAAUUUCUAUCAACCUUACACAUUUCAAAACACCAUUUCCAACACUUUCAAUAAUGCAUCAUAACGAACACCAAAAUUUUAAGAUAUGAUCAAGGUGGUAUGCAUAAGAAAUGAAAAGGUGCGAACAUCCGAAAUAGAAAAUUUGGGAUGUUACAACGGAGUUCCUCCCUGUACGUAUGGAUACCUUGGAGGCGCUGCACCUGUGGCGCUUGGACGAACUACUCGUGGGAUCGACGAGACGGAGCAGGCCGAACGACUACUCGGCAUCGACACGCAUCAUCGACUCUACUUCCGCUACGGGUCUACGCGUGUAGUGAUAAUCUCGUGAUCCAUUAUCUACAGCAUUGAUCCGGGCGGAAUCGGUAGAAUUUUUAUUUUGUGCUAGCGUAGCCUACUGCAUUCCCCAACAGUGGUAUCAGAGCUGAUGCUGUCUAUUUUGGAUUCGGAUUACGUGCAUAAGUGUUAUGCGGUUAGUAGUAGAUGUGAUCUAUUGCUAUCUUGGUGGUCGAUCUAAGUGUUAGAUCGGUUUUGUACUCAAUCGAUUGAUCGAUUAUACUCGGGGAUCAUGGAUAUUCGAUUCUAAUAAUCGUGAUGCUGAUGGUCGUGACACAACAUACUCCUACCGGUUGGAUUUCCGCCAUCGGAGUAUAUAGUGAAACGUAAAUCCGGAUGCGAUGAUGUUGAAGGUCAUGUGUGACAUCCGAAUUUUUCUAAUUUGGAUGUUAUUACCUUUUCACGUCACAUGCAUAUCAUUUUGCCCAUAUUUGAGUUUGGAGAUGAUCUUACAAUUUAAUAGGGAGUUUAUUUGGACCUUAAAAGUGAUUAUAUGCAUUUGUUUGAAUUUUUUUGAGCUGCAUAUGCAUUAAAAAUAUUUUUCCUAACUUCCAAAUAGGUAUUUGAAAUUUUCAGGAAUUUUCAGAAAUUUUUUCGAUGCCGUUUGGUAUUUUAUUUGCCUUAUUUGAUUUUCUGGCAAUUUAGAAACCCAGAAAAGUUAUUUCUUUAUUUGUUUUUCUUUUUCUUCCGCUGAGUACAUUUUCUCUGCAUGAAGGCGUGUUCCCGUGAAACCCGUUUCCACUUAAGUCUACCGAAGGGGUGUCUUCUAAUCUCGUCCAUCCAUUCCCCAUCCAACGGCCAUCAUUCCUUUUUCAUUUUUUCUUUUUUCCUUUUUCCUUUUCCUUUUCUUUUUUUUUCUUUUCUCCUUUCUUCCUUCUUCCUCACGCAGGCACAACCAUAGCCUGUUCUGGCCGAACGCCAUGGCCAAGCUCCAGCCACCGCCC